GACGAACGCUGGCGGCGUGCUUAACACAUGCAAGUCGAACGGUAAGGCCCCUUCGGGGGUACACGAGUGGCGAACGGGUGAGUAACACGUGGGUGAUCUGCCCUGCACUCUGGGAUAAGCCUGGGAAACUGGGUCUAAUACCGGAUAUGAGCUCCUGUCGCAUGGCGGGGGUUGGAAAGGUUUACUGGUGCAGGAUGGGCCCGCGGCCUAUCAGCUUGUUGGUGGGGUAAGGGCCUACCAAGGCGACGACGGGUAGCCGGCCUAGGAGGGCGACCGGCCACACUGGGACUGAGACACGGCCCAGACUCCUACGGGAGGCAGCAGUGGGGAAUAUUGCACAAUGGGCGAAAGCCUGAUGCAGCGACGCCGCGUGAGGGAUGACGGCCUUCGGGUUGUAAACCUCUUUCAGCAGGGACGAAGCGAGAGUGACGGUACCUGCAGAAGAAGCACCGGCCAACUACGUGCCAGCAGCCGCGGUAACAC
rnacentral:rRNA from 1 species